UUGAAAAGUGAUGACUAAGUCCUCUAGAAAACAAAACACGGCCUAAACAAAAUACGUCACUUCAUUUGGCUAUGGUUUUUAACCUAUUCCUUAUCGAAAUGUCAAGCAUAGAAUUUACAAGCAGGCCUGAACAAGGAGGAGUCCUUGGAGGGUGAGCCCAGUCAUAAAUGCACGGUUAUUGUGGCAGGAACAAACCUCCCUCCCGUCCCCUAUUUGACACCAGAUUUCUGCAGUGGUCGUUGCUUUUGGACAUGCGUAAUUAGGUUUGUUGUUGCCACUAAAUAUGCGUGUCAAGUUUCAAAAGGGGCCAGCCAAAGGAUGAGGAGGAUAUCUCUGUGUGUUCGCUGCCCUGACCUGCCCCGGCUGGAAUUGUUAAUGUGCUGGACACAACAUAGCUGGCAACAGGCAGGGGGCAGGGGGUGGUGCAGCAGUUGCAGCAUUUGAUGUCUACGUAAAUCAGAAUGAAACCUCAUUUCCGUUGCAGAUAUUCGCACCCAGUCCAGACUAAUUUCGGGGUUUGUUUAAAUAAUCAUGGCCUUUCAUCGAUACAGGGAAGUCUCCAUUUUGACAGCCCAUUUGAAGUGGUUACGCACCCUUGCAAGCUCAUAAAUUAACCACAGCCUUUAAUUAGUUUACUUUAUUAGUUCAAUCUCAUUGAAAACAUUCUCGGCAUUAUAUGUUGCAAAAAUAUUUACAUUUCGUUGGCAAAACACAUUUCUCCCUGCCUCGACUUUGUUUUUCAGAAAUUAAUUCUAUAAACAUGAACUCCAUACCGUGAAGGGGAAAAAGUAAAAAAAAAUGCAAGAUUUUUCACAUUUAUUCUAACAAUUUGAAAAACUGGCACGUCUGACAGCAGCAGGGAAAAAAAUUGCUGGAAAUUAACUCGAAAAAUAUAAGCAAGCCGCCACGGCCCGGAAAAUUCCCUUAAUUUAUGCAAUGGAAUGUCAAAAAAGCCCAGCGAUCCGAGCCAAUUAUUGUGUGGGGAAGUGUCGCAGUCGAUUUGGAAGUGGCAUGGGCCAUUUAUAAAUGAUAUCCACUGACAGAGUAAAUGCAAAAAUAAUAAAUGCUUUUCGGAGCAGAAACAAAAAAGAGUGCAUGUAGAUAUGAAUACUAUUAAAAUUCAAUUACAGUAUAAAUCAUGGCGUAUAAUGAAGCAGCUCUUGUUCUUAAUUUCUACAGGAAUGAAUAUUAUUCUGUCGUAUUCUGUAGCUCCAAUUAGGAGUUAGAUAGCUUGA